AAGACUAUAUUUUCAGUGAUCUUUUCCAGAGUGACUGACUAGAAAAUGUGAUUUUUAAGUGAUACGUUUUUCUAAUCACGAUGAAGAGCUGUGAUGUAUUCUUCUGAGUGUGAAUCAGAUUCAAGUUAAUGAUUUUUGUCACAGCCUUGAGUUGUUGAUGAAUGUUGUCUGUUUCUUAUGAAGCAGGAGAGGAAGAGUACAUGAUCAGAGUGAU